GGGAGGUAGUGACAAUAAAUAACAAUACGGGGUUCUUUAGGAUCUCGUAAUUGGAAUGAGUACAAUUUAAAUCUCUUAACGAGGAACAAUUGGAGGGCAAGUCUGGUGCCAGCAGCCGCGGUAAUUCCAGCUCCAAUAGCGUAUAUUAAAGUUGUUGCAGUUAAAAAGCUCGUAGUUGAACCUUAGGCCCGUGCGGGCGGUCCGUCCUCUGGGCGAGCACUGCUUCGUCGCGGGUCUCACCUUCUGGCGAGCGUGGAUGCCAUUUAUUUGGUGUCCGCGGGAACCAGGACCUUUACCUUGAAAAAAUUAGAGUGCUCAAAGCGGGCUCCGACGCUUGAAUACAUUAGCAUGGAAUAAUGAAAUAAGACGAUGGUUCUAUUUUGUUGGUUUCCGGGACGGUCGUAAUGAUUAAUAGGGAUAGUUGGG
rnacentral:rRNA from 1 species